CAAGCGGAUGCUUCACAUUUAUACAUCCGGUGAAAUAUAUGUGUCAUUGUUCUAUCUGUGGUACAACUCCCAUAGUUCACUGUUGAACACAAUUUCCACAGAUGGCAUACGGGUGAAAUAUAGUAGUGGGUGGGCUAGACAGCACAAAAAAUGCUUAGAACACGACGAUACAGCCACAAACUUCCAGAUAUGGAUAGGUGAGGUACACAGACGUUAGACGAGAAGAUCGUGUCCCAUCCGGUUUCUCACAGCAGGGAGAACAUUGUUGAUCAUUCGGAACAUUAGCUACUCACUCACUCCCUGUGGUGUUGCUGCAGCGUCUCGAUCAAGAAAAUCGCAUCACAUCGGAUUCUCCUGGAAUUCCUCGCUGCAUGUGCGCUAGCUGGCAGGAGUGUGCCAGAAGCCUAGCCCCGUGUAUAUGUGUACUACCUUGCCGACUAACGUUACACACGCACACCAGACCGACAGACUGUGGCGGAGAGACUGCGAGCGGACGAUAGACCACAAGUUAGGAUUGAGCAAGGACACGAAGUUGGGUACAUUUGUAUGGUUUCAAUCAUGUCUAUGCAUUGUUCUGUAUUGUAAUCGUUGCUAGCUAAUACGUCCAAAGGAAAGAUGUAACUAGGUACGUUGCAUUCAGACAUGCUAACGUAGUUGGUAUAGCUAGCUAGUGGUCUGUGACAAUCAAGUAGCCAACGUUAGUUAGCUAAUUUCAAAAUCCAGAAAUUGGAGUAGCUAGCAGUUAUGCUAUAACUGCAGCUAGCUACUGAACUAUAAUCCUAGCAGGAGGGACACAGAAACGGCUAGAUUCUAACAGAAUAGAAAGCGUAUUGCUCCCCUAGAACAGUAUUGCACCCCUACAACACGGAAGGAGUUGCAAUAGAUAUGUAGUAACGAACCAUAUAAUAAUGCAGAUGUUUUUUGGGGGGGGGGUGCAUCCCAGGUUUCCUAUCCAUUCUACUACACAGAUGUGGGUGUAGUAGUCUGAGUGACUGACACGACCAUUGAAAAGAAACAAGAUGAGUAGUACCAAGAGGAAAGCAGAAGGACAAUCUAGGACCAGGAAGUCUGGAAGCUCCAGAACAGACUCGGAGAGAGACUCUGGCUUCUCAGAUGCCAGCACCAUAGACCUGACAGAUUCUGAGGACUCAUCUCGCACUGUGUCCAAGAGAGAGGCCCAGCACCCUCCAUCCGGGUCGGGGUCUCAUCCCUCACAGCUAGCUGUGUUGGGGGGGGUCCUACUCCAACAUGUCCCCCAUGAUCAUGAAAAAUGGGUACCUGAACUGAACCCAACAAACAAAACAACAAUUAAAAUGUAUGGUCUAAAUUUAAAAUGAAGAUCUUUAUUGAUAUGCUUUACAAGAGCCAGUAGGUUUCCACUGUAAAAUGUCUAAGAAGAAUGGAAAGCAGGCAACACAGAAUACUUUUUUCCUCUUUGUGAAUUCAUGGACCUCUGGACAAGGAAAGACGGUGCUUUACCUAAAGACUCCUUCAGGACUCCAGUGAGGAUUCUGUUCAUCAAAGCAUUUUUUUUAAACAACAAAGACUGACGUAUGAUAAUUUUCAGGGCCUUAUCAAAAAGCUGAACUUUAUUUAAAACCUUGUAUUGUAUUUGCAUGGGAAGUUACUCCCAAGUAAGACUAAGUUGGCACAAUUUAUCAUGAGGUUUAAGUUAUUUUUAAACCUGCGAUUGUGUUUUUGUAAUAGACCAAGCAUCAUAUCUCCCUGUCCUAUGUUACUUUCAUGGCCUUAUUUAGACAAUUGAUUAUGUGGUGUUCAAUUAUUUUAUUUUAUUUUUCAAAUAAGGAGUUCUCCAUAAGAAGACAGACUGUCAGACGUACAGUAGCCCUUAGUGAUAUAUCUUAUUAUUUUGUCCUGCAAAGCACCGGAGUGCCUCGAAGUUGUUACAAAUGCAAAGAAGGUGAUAUAAUUUGUGCUUUACUGCCUAAAAUGCAAAUAACAGUACAUGUUAUCUUCAGUGUAAGUAGUAAUAGGCCUCGGGGAAGCCAUUUUAAAACUUGAGCUUCCUGAAUUUCUCAUCUAUAAGAACUGCAUAACACCUGUAUGUGCUUGUUACCACAGUUCAAAUAGGUUAAAAAAAACUGUAAAAGUUUGUCUUAUAUUUAAAUGUUGGCAGCUGUUUUUCUAUCAUUGUUAACCUGCCUCCUCAUCGCAAGGACAUAAAUGAAAUGUAAUUAUAUUAAUAUUAUAAGCUCAAUGUUUCAAUAGCACAGCAGUAGUAGCUUGUGAUUGAUAACAAAAUGAGAAAAUAACGCUUAACAGAUUCUGUACCAAUGUUUUGUAAUAUUAUUUUUUUAUUUAAAUGAUAAACUAUGUAAAAGCUGCAGAAAAAUAAAUUGAUCAUGAUGUUGACUUCCUAAAACAUGUUUUUUCUUUUUUUGCAGCUAUGCAAAUCAGGAUCCUUUAAUUGAAUGAUGGUUAGUAAAUGCAGUAUCUGUGUUUGUGUUGCUCAAGUGUACCUUUUUUUUGUUCAUUUUUUUAGAAGAUACAUUGCUUGCUUAAUAAACGCUAUUUCCAAGAA